rnacentral:lncRNA from 1 species
GAGCCAUAUGGUGUGUAACAGCUUAAACAAAAGGCAACAAAAAUUGGCAGAGGAAGUUAACUGGAAAGCAGCAUUGAAAGACAGGGUCAAAGCAGGGUUGAGGAUGGAAGCAUUGCAGAGACAAGCAGGAGUGGGGCAUGCACGGGGCCACACAAUAAUAUUCUCUAGAGGAGAGAGAUAUUUUCAAGCCUUUGAAAAAGAUGCAAUAAAUAUUUCACAAGCCUGCCAAGAAAAACAAAAGUCAAUGAUCACACCUUUAAAGUCAGAAGAAGGGGAUCUCAUCAUUCCAGUGGCAGAAGGCUGGGCAAGGGUAGAGGACAUAACGGCGACCUUUCAGAAGGGAUGCAAGCUGAAUCUUAGAGAGUAUAUAGGACAAUGGCUGAGGUAGAAGAAGAAGGAAUCCUAGGUGAAGCAAGGUGCCCAGGAACCUCGGGGUCAGGGGAGGCUUCCCGGCCCAUCAGCCACCUCACUCCUGACUUAACAAAUGGUUGCAACCGGCCGAAAACUUACCUCCGGAGGUUUUCUGAGGUCUGUACCCGAGAGUCUCCUGCUGGAUCCCACCACAGAGUCUUGGCUGAACUGGGGUUCCUUACCCGGGGAUCUCGCUGGGGCCUCCAAAAUGUAAGACCGAGGGCCUUACCAAAUGCUCCGAGGAGCUGACUAUAGUGAAGCACACCCAGGGAUCCCAGCGGUGCCUCCAGAAUGUAAGACCAAGAGCCUUACCAAACGCUCCGAGGAGCUGACUGCAGCGAAGAACACCCGGGAAGGAACACAUCCAACAAGUUGGAAAAGUAAAACAGACAUUUAUUAGUCUGGCCAGAUGGCACUCUCCAAGCAACAGGCUUAGAGAGGUCCCCGAGUUCAGGGGAUUGGAAGGUUUUAUAGGGGCUGCAGGGGUGCUUAGCAAGCAGAGCUACAGAAGUGGAAUUUUUGUGGUUAGGGGAUGGUUGGGGGGGGGGUUACAGAUGUUC